UACGGGGGGAGCAAGCGUUGUUCGGAUUUACUGGGCGUAAAGGGCGCGUAGGCGGUCGUGACAAGUCACUUGUGAAAUCUCCGGGCUUAACUCGGAACGGUCAAGUGAUACUGUCGGACUAGAGUACAGAAGGGGCAACUGGAAUUCUCGGUGUAGCGGUGAAAUGCGUAGAUAUCGGGAGGAACACCAGUGGCGAAGGCGGGUUGCUGGGCUGAUACUGACGCUGAGGCGCGAAAGCCAGGGGAGCGAACGGG
rnacentral:rRNA from 1 species